CCACCAUCGAGACCGGCAGAGGGACAGGCCCGAAGAAGCCGGGGCAGCCAGCGACGCGCAAGCGCCGUGGUGGUGCCAAAUCCUGCGGGGACCUCAGCGUCUGCCGGAAGAUGGUUC
rnacentral:ncRNA from 2 species